AUCCAGCUGACAUGUCCCAAAUAGGACGAAAUGCGCGUUCUGGAU
rnacentral:hammerhead_ribozyme from 1 species